rnacentral:rRNA from 1 species
CCAGGCUAAUACCGCAUACGUCCUACGGUGAGAAAGGGGGCUUCGGCUCCCGCUAUUGGAUGAGCCUAUGUCGGAUUAGCUAGUUGGUGAGGUAACGGCUCACCAAGGCGACGAUCCGUAGCUGGUCUGAGAGGAUGAUCAGCCACAUCGGGACUGAGACACGGCCCGAACUCCUACGGGAGGCAGCAGUGGGGAAUAUUGGACAAUGGGGGCAACCCUGAUCCAGCCAUGCCGCGUGUGUGAAGAAGGCCCUCGGGUUGUAAAGCACUUUCAGCGAGGAAGAACGCCUGUCGGUUAAUACCCGGCAGGAAAGACAUCAMUCGCAGAAGAAGCACCGGCUAACUCCGUGCCAGCAGCCGCGGUAAUACGGAGGGUGCAAGCGUUAAUCGGAAUUACUGGGCGUAAAGCGCGCGUAGGUGGCUUGAUAAGCCGGUUGUGAAAGCCCCGGGCUCAACCUGGGAACGGCAUCCGGAACUGUCAGGCUAGAGUGCAGGAGAGGAAGGUAGAAUUCCCGGUGUAGCGGUGAAAUGCGUAGAGAUCGGGAGGAAUACCAGUGGCGAAGGCGGCCUUCUGGACUGACACUGACACUGAGGUGCGAAAGCGUGGGUAGCAAACAGGAUUAGAUACCCUGGUAGUCCACGCCGUAAACGAUGUCGACCAGCCGUUGGGUGCCUAGAGCACUUUGUGGCGAAGUUAACGCGAUAAGUCGACCGCCUGGGGAGUACGGCCGCAAGGUUAAAACUCAAAUGAAUUGACGGGGGCCCGCACAAGCGGUGGAGCAUGUGGUUUAAUUCGAUGCAACGCGAAGAACCUUACCUACCCUUGACAUCUACAGAAGCCGGAAGAGAUUCUGGUGUGCCUUCGGGAACUGUAAGACAGGUGCUGCAUGGCUGUCGUCAGCUCGUGUUGUGAAAUGUUGGGUUAAGUCCCGUAACGAGCGCAACCCUUGUCCUUAUUUGCCAGCACGUAAUGGUGGGAACUCUAAGGAGACUGCCGGUGACAAACCGGAGGAAGGUGGGGACGACGUCAAGUCAUCAUGGCCCUUACGGGUAGGGCUACACACGUGCUACAAUGGCCGGUACAAAGGGCUGCGAGCUCGCGAGAGUCAGCGAAUCCCUUAAAGCCGGUCUCAGUCCGGAUCGGAGUCUGCAACUCGACUCCGUGAAGUCGGAAUCGCUAGUAAUCGUGAAUCAGAAUGUCACGGUGAAUACGUUCCCGGGCCUUGUACACACC